AAUUGCGACCCCAGGUCAGGUGGGAUUACCCGCUGAGUUUAAGCAUAUCAAUAAGCGGAGGAAAGAAACUUACAAGGAUUCCCCUAGUAACGGCGAGCGAACCGGGAAU
rnacentral:rRNA from 1 species